rnacentral:rRNA from 1 species
GGGUUGUGAGGUUAAGCGACUAAGCGUACACGGUGGAUGCCCUGGCAGUCAGAGGCGAUGAAGGACGUGCUAAUCUGCGAAAAGCGUCGGUAAGGUGAUAUGAACCGUUAUAACCGGCGAUGUCCGAAUGGGGAAACCCAGUGUGAUUCGUCACACUAUCGUUAACUGAAUACAUAGGUUAACGAGGCGAACCGGGGGAACUGAAACAUCUAAGUACCCCGAGGAAAAGAAAUCAACCGAGAUUCCCCCAGUAGCGGCGAGCGAACGGGGAGCAGCCCAGAGUCUGAAUCAGCUUGUGUGUUAGUGGAACGGUCUGGAAAGUCCGACGGUACAGGGUGAUAGUCCCGUACACCAAAAUGCACAGGUUGUGAACUCGAAGAGUAGGGCGGGACACGUGGUAUCCUGUCUGAAUAUGGGGGGACCAUCCUCCAAGGCUAAAUACUCCUGACUGACCGAUAGUGAACCAGUACCGUGAGGGAAAGGCGAAAAGAACCCCGGCGAGGGGAGUGAAAAAGAACCUGAAACCGUGUACGUACAAGCAGUGGGAGCACCUUCGGGUGUGACUGCGUACCUUUUGUAUAAUGGGUCAGCGACUUAUAUUCUGUAGCAAGGUUAACCGUAUAGGGGAGCCGCAGGGAAACCGAGUCUUAACUGGGCGUUAAGUUGCAGGGUAUAGACCCGAAACCCGGUGAUCUAGCCAUGGGCAGGUUGAAGGUUGGGUAACACUAACUGGAGGACCGAACCGACUAAUGUUGAAAAAUUAGCGGAUGACUUGUGGCUGGGGGUGAAAGGCCAAUCAAACCGGGAGAUAGCUGGUUCUCCCCGAAAGCUAUUUAGGUAGCGCCUCGUGAACUCAUCUUCGGGGUAGAGCACUGUUUCGGCUAGGGGGUCAUCCCGACUUACCAACCCGAUGCAAACUACGAAUACCGAAGAAUGUUAUCACGGGAGACACACGGCGGGUGCUAACGUCCGUCGUGAAGAGGGAAACAACCCAGACCGCCAGCUAAGGUCCCAAAGUCAUGGUUAAGUGGGAAACGAUGUGGGAAGGCACAGACAGCCAGGAUGUUGGCUUAGAAGCAGCCAUCAUUUAAAGAAAGCGUAAUAGCUCACUGGUCGAGUCGGCCUGCGCGGAAGAUGUAACGGGGCUAAACCAUGCACCGAAGCUGCGGCAGCGACACUAUGUGUUGUUGGGUAGGGGAGCGUUCUGUAAGCCUGCGAAGGUGACCUGUGAGGGUUGCUGGAGGUAUCAGAAGUGCGAAUGCUGACAUAAGUAACGAUAAAGCGGGUGAAAAGCCCGCUCGCCGGAAGACCAAGGGUUCCUGUCCAACGUUAAUCGGGGCAGGGUGAGUCGACCCUAAGGCGAGGCCGAAAGGCGUAGUCGAUGGGAAACAGGUUAAUAUUCCUGUACUUGGUGUUACUGCGAAGGGGACGGAGAAGGCUAUGUUAGCCGGGCGACGGUUGUCCCGGUUUAAGCAUGUAGGCUGGUUAUCCGUGCAAAUCCGGAUAAUCAAGGCUGAGGUGUGAUGACGAGGCACUACGGUGCUGAAGUAACAAAUGCCCUGCUUCCAGGAAAAGCCUCUAAGCAUCAGGUAACAUCAAAUCGUACCCCAAACCGACACAGGUGGUCAGGUAGAGAAUACCAAGGCGCUUGAGAGAACUCGGGUGAAGGAACUAGGCAAAAUGGUGCCGUAACUUCGGGAGAAGGCACGCUGGUGUGUAGGUGAAGCCCCUGCGGGUGGAGCUGAGACCAGUCGAAGAUACCAGCUGGCUGCAACUGUUUAUUAAAAACACAGCACUGUGCAAACACGAAAGUGGACGUAUACGGUGUGACGCCUGCCCGGUGCCGGAAGGUUAAUUGAUGGGGUUAUCCGUAAGGAGAAGCUCUUGAUCGAAGCCCCGGUAAACGGCGGCCGUAACUAUAACGGUCCUAAGGUAGCGAAAUUCCUUGUCGGGUAAGUUCCGACCUGCACGAAUGGCGUAAUGAUGGCGAGGCUGUCUCCACCCGAGACUCAGUGAAAUUGAACUCGCUGUGAAGAUGCAGUGUACCCGCGGCAAGACGGAAAGACCCCGUGAACCUUUACUAUAGCUUGACACUGAACAUUGAGCCUUGAUGUGUAGGAUAGGUGGGAGGCUUUGAAGCGUGGACGCCAGUCUGCGUGGAGCCAACCUUGAAAUACCACCCUUUAAUGUUUGAUGUUCUAACGUUGGCCCCUGACCGGGGUUGCGGACAGUGUCUGGUGGGUAGUUUGACUGGGGCGGUCUCCUCCCAAAGCGUAACGGAGGAGCACGAAGGUUAGCUAAUCCUGGUCGGACAUCAGGAGGUUAGUGCAAUGGCAUAAGCUAGCUUGACUGCGAGCGUGACGGCGCGAGCAGGUGCGAAAGCAGGUCAUAGUGAUCCGGUGGUUCUGAAUGGAAGGGCCAUCGCUCAACGGAUAAAAGGUACUCCGGGGAUAACAGGCUGAUACCGCCCAAGAGUUCAUAUCGACGGCGGUGUUUGGCACCUCGAUGUCGGCUCAUCACAUCCCGGGCUGAAGUAGGUCCCAAGGGUAUGGCUGUUCGCCAUUUAAAGUGGUACGCGAGCUGGGUUUAGAACGUCGUGAGACAGUUCGGUCCCUAUCUGCCGUGGGCGCUGGAGAAUUGAGGGGGGCUGCUCCUAGUACGAGAGGACCGGAGUGGACGCAUCACUGGUGUUCGGGUUGUCAUGCCAAUGGCACUGCCCGGUAGCUAAAUGCGGAAGAGAUAAGUGCUGAAAGCAUCUAAGCACGAAACUUGCCCCGAGAUGAGUUCUCCCUGAGACUUUAAGUCUCCUGAAGGAACGUUAAAGACGAUGACGUUGAUAGGCCGGGUGUGUAAGCGCAGCGAUGCGUUGAGCUAACCGGUACUAAUGAACCGUGAGGCUUAACCUUACAACGCCGAAG